rnacentral:sRNA from 1 species
CAGCCCUCCCCGCGGCCGGCUCGGCUCCUUGGCGCUGCCUGGGGUCCUUUCCGCCCGGUCCCCGCUUGCCAGCCCCCGCUGCUCUGUGCCCUGUCCGGCCAGGCCUGGAGCCGACACCACCGCCAUCAUGCCGGCCGUGUCCAAGGGCGAUGGGAUGCGGGGGCUCGCGGUGUUCAUCUCCGACAUCCGGAACUGUAAGAGCAAAGAGGCGGAAAUUAAGAGAAUCAACAAGGAACUGGCCAACAUCCGCUCCAAGUUCAAAGGAGACAAAGCCUUGGAUGGCUACAGUAAGAAAAAAUAUGUGUGUAAACUGCUUUUCAUCUUCCUGCUUGGCCAUGACAUUGACUUUGGGCACAUGGAGGCUGUGAAUCUGUUGAGUUCCAAUAAAUACACAGAGAAGCAAAUAGGUUACCUGUUCAUUUCUGUGCUGGUGAACUCGAACUCGGAGCUGAUCCGCCUCAUCAACAACGCCAUCAAGAAUGACCUGGCCAGCCGCAACCCCACCUUCAUGUGCCUGGCCCUGCACUGCAUCGCCAACGUGGGCAGCCGGGAGAUGGGCGAGGCCUUUGCCGCUGACAUCCCCCGCAUCCUGGUGGCCGGGGACAGCAUGGACAGUGUCAAGCAGAGUGCGGCCCUGUGCCUCCUUCGACUGUACAAGGCCUCGCCUGACCUAGUGCCCAUGGGCGAGUGGACGGCACGUGUGGUACACCUGCUCAAUGACCAGCACAUGGGUGUGGUCACAGCCGCCGUCAGCCUCAUCACCUGUCUCUGCAAGAAGAACCCAGAUGACUUCAAGACGUGCGUCUCUCUGGCUGUGUCGCGCCUGAGCCGGAUCGUCUCCUCUGCCUCCACCGACCUCCAGGACUACACCUACUACUUCGUCCCAGCACCCUGGCUCUCGGUUAAGCUCCUGCGGCUGCUGCCGUGCUACCUGAAUUACCAUAGCCCUGUCAGGGGUUUUCACAUCUGGUGGGAACCUUCCCCUACUGCUCACAGUCACAAUAGCCAGUGUGUAUGAAACUCCUGUAGUGAGCCAGGCACUGUGCGGGGGCACCUGCACCUGCCGAACAGAGCUGGCAAGGAGGAACAGCCAGUGUGAUAUGCACACAGGGAAACUGAGGCUUGGAGGUGAGACAUCACCAUUCUAGGCAGUAAGUGGCAGUUGGCCCCCAGACUCUCUGCUCUAAACCCCUCCCUCUGCCACUGAGCUCCCCCGAGCUUCUGUCGCCUUGGCUGACUGACCUCAUGGAGCAGUUUCUUCAGACCCUGUGCUGAGGGGCUUGGCACACAGUAGGUGCUAAUGCACCAGUUCCCUCCGUUCAGCCAGCAUGUCCAGCACCUGCCAGGGGCCAGGGCUGAUGUACACCACCAAAUCUCUGGGUGUGCAUGCCUGUCUGUUUGCAUGCCUGCAUGCGUGCAUGCGUUCGCCUGUGUGUGUCGAUACCUGCCCGUGUGCAUGCAUGUCUGCGUGCAUCCCCUGUGUGUGGAUGUGUCAUUGUGUGUGCAUCUGUAUGUAUGCGUGUCUGUGUCUAUAUGUGGCAGUGUUCAUGGUAUCUCUGUGUCCCUCUAUGUGUGUACAUGUGUAUGUAUCAGUGUGUGCAUCUACAUGUGUACCUGUGCAUGCAAGUGGAUGUGUACAUGAGUGUAGAUACCUGUGUGCAUGCCUGUGUGUGCAUGUCUCAAUGCUUGCCAGCAUCUACGUGUGUCCAUGCAUGUCCCUCUGCACAUGGUGUGUGUGUACACACUCUGAGUAUAAGAUAUGGAGGUGACACCAGAGGCCCAUCGUGUGUGAAGCCAGUGAUGAAUUCUGUUGUGUGGCCCUGGGGACAUGUCUUCCUUCUCUGGGCCUCUUUUUCGUCCUGUCAAGAAGGGCUUAAGUCAUGCUCUAAGCCCAUGACCACCCCAGAAGGCCCAGCUGGUAAUUCUGGGGUACACCCAUUGCAGGCACCUCACCCACUCCAACCCUCGGUGGUGUAGGAACUGGAGACACAGCCUUGUCCUGAGGCUGGGCCUGAGGACACACCAACCCUGUGUCACCUCCUUUUCAGCAAAUGGUGGUGGGCUAUUGCCAAUUUGUUUGCAAGUCAUUUUUUUGUCAUAUGCAUUAUGAAAAGUUUCCCAGCAUCCAGAUAAGUACGAGAUUUCAUUACUUGGACUUCACAGUUUGCCAUGUAUGCAUGCUCUUGUUUAUUUUCUUCUGAAAUAUUUAAAAGUAAAUUACAGACAUCAUGAUGUUUUGCCUUUAAAUAUGUUGUUCUGGGCCAGGCACAGUGGCUCACGCCUGUAAUCCCAGCAAUCUGGGAGGCCGAGGUAGAAGGAUCACUUGAGCUCAGGAAUUCGAGACCAGUCUGGCCAACAUGGUGAAACCCCAUCUCUACA